rnacentral:rRNA from 1 species
UGCAAGUCGAACGGUAGCACAGAGAGCUUGCUCUCGGGUGACGAGUGGCGGACGGGUGAGUAAUGUCUGGGAAACUGCCUGAUGGAGGGGGAUAACUACUGGAAACGGUAGCUAAUACCGCAUAACGUCGCAAGACCAAAGAGGGGGACCUUCGGGCCUCUUGCCAUCAGAUGUGCCCAGAUGGGAUUAGCUAGUAGGUGGGGUAACGGCUCACCUAGGCGACGAUCCCUAGCUGGUCUGAGAGGAUGACCAGCCACACUGGAACUGAGACACGGUCCAGACUCCUACGGGAGGCAGCAGUGGGGAAUAUUGCACAAUGGGCGCAAGCCUGAUGCAGCCAUGCCGCGUGUAUGAAGAAGGCCUUCGGGUUGUAAAGUACUUUCAGCGGGGAGGAAGGUGUUGUGGUUAAUAACCGCAGCAAUUGACGUUACCCGCAGAAGAAGCACCGGCUAACUCCGUGCCAGCAGCCGCGGUAAUACGGAGGGUGCAAGCGUUAAUCGGAAUUACUGGGCGUAAAGCGCACGCAGGCGGUCUGUCAAGUCGGAUGUGAAAUCCCCGGGCUCAACCUGGGAACUGCAUUCGAAACUGGCAGGCUAGAGUCUUGUAGAGGGGGGUAGAAUUCCAGGUGUAGCGGUGAAAUGCGUAGAGAUCUGGAGGAAUACCGGUGGCGAAGGCGGCCCCCUGGACAAAGACUGACGCUCAGGUGCG